GAUAGAAACCAACCUGGCUUACGCCGGUCUGAACUCAGAUCAUGUAAGAAAUCAAAAGUCGAACAGACUUUCCAACAAAACUUCUGCACCUUGCUAAUUUCUUAAUCCAACAUCGAGGUCGCAAACCUUUU
rnacentral:rRNA from 1 species